GCACUACAUAAAUACUCUUACUCAGUGGAGGACAACGCAUAGAAAUGCCUUGCAAAUGGAAAUUGAUUGUGGCUCCGGACAGGAAUCAGAAGCAAAUAAGUGGAACAAACUUAUGUAACACUCAAUUACAUCUCAGAAAGAUACCCAAAAAAAGACGAUUCACCGUCAUAUUUUUAAUAUAUUUUUAUUCGGUUUACAAGGGGAGUAUUUUUGUCAGCAACACUCGCACAUAUGUUGGAAUAAAUGCAGAGGUAGCAACAACCACCCGAAUUUAUGAUUAUAAACAGUCAAUCUGGGGA
rnacentral:lncRNA from 1 species